AUGGCUGUCGUCAGCUCGUGCCGUGAGGUGUUGCCUUAAGUGGCGCAACGAGCGCAACCCCUGUCCUUAGUUGCCAGCGGAUCAUGCCGGGAACUCUAGGGAGACUGCCGGUGCCAAACCGGAGGAAGGUGGGGAUGACGUCAAGUCAGCAUGCCCCUUAUAUCCAGGGCUGCACGCAUGCUACAAUGCGCGAUACAGAGGGCUGCGAUCCCGUAAGGGGGAGCGAAUCCCAAAAAGUCGCGCUCAGUUCGGAUCGAGGUCUGCAACUCGACCUCGUGAAGUCGGAGUCGCUAGUAAUCGCAGAUCAGCAAUGCUGCGGUGAAUACGUUCCCGGGCCUUGUACACACCGCCCGUCACACCACGAAAGUGGGCAACACCCGAAGCCGGUGGCCUAACCCUUGUGGAGGGAGCCGUCGAAGGUGGGGCUCGCGAUUGGGGUGAAGUCGUAACAAGGUAGCCGUACCGGAAGGUGCGGCUGGAUCACCUCCUUUCUAAGGAGCCGUUGGCAGCCCGGUGGGACUCAGGACGCGCAAGCGAUUCGUCCCUGCACUCCGGGAGACUCCAGGUCAAUGCACUGGCCCCCGCUGUCGUUCGACGGCAAACCAUCCGCUUAGUACCCCGCAAGGGCGAACGAGGAUCGGUGCGCUGCACGCCGGCGGGCACACUGUUCAGCUUUGAGGGUGCGAACCCUCGGGCACCUUGAGAACUCGAUAGCGAGCGCGAGCAUCUAUUAGUCAAGUUAUGAAGGGCUUACGGUGGAUGCCUAGGCGCCAGGAGCCGAUGAAGGACGCGUCAGGCUGCGAAAAGCUUCGGGGAGCCGCCGAGAGGGCUUUGAUCCGAAGGUGUCCGAAUGGGGAAACCCGG
rnacentral:sRNA from 1 species